UUGUAAAAUGAUGUUGCCCUCAAAAAAUGACUUGCUUUGCAAAAUACCUAUUGACAUCAGGUAAGAGAAUGCUUGUUUUUUUUUUAUAUACAGUCGUUUCUUUUUGUUGAGUCAGGGCACUUCUUGAUUGGCUAUAUUUUGUUCCACGUCAAUUCUUGUCAUCAUGACUCGGGAGAAGUCGGCUCUCCCCCAUACAUGAAGAUUUUUGGCCAUAAAUAUUGAACACGUUCAUUAUUUUGGAUUGUAGGCCCUGACCUGUUUCGGACCCUAAAAUCAGGACGAAUCCACUCUUAACACACAUCAGACCUAAGGACAGUGUCAUAUACUGCCCUGCAGUUCCAUUAUUGGAGCCGGGAGGGCGCUUUGCGUCCUCUCUCUCUCCCCCGUCCCCUCUCUGUUUUCAGCACCUGUCUCCAAUCAGCCUCAUCACCACCAGCUCCGUCAUCGCUCCCUGACGCCCGAAUACAAGUUGAAGCUUCCACAGAUUAAAGAUUAAAGAUUCGCCCAACCUUCUGUCUUGGAUAUCCCGGAAGCUUAUACUCGAGCAUAUCCUUUUGGACGAUUUCUACGCGGCUCACCUGGGGAAGCCUGGCAGGGCGCCGGGAGGCGUCCGUUGAGAGGGAGCACCUGUCUCCAAUCAGCCUCAUCACCACCGGUAUAUAAGCCUGCCUGUUCCAGGAAAUCCUCGCCAAAGUAUUGCAGUUACUUCCAGCGUGUUUUCCCAUGUGUUCCUGAUCCACGUCAUUCCUGCCGCCAAGCCAGCCGCCUGUCCUCACCACCGCCUGCCAACCCACCUAGGACCACCACCAUUUCCUUUCCUCAAUAAACUGUUCAUCAUUUUACAUCUGCCUCUGCCUGCUCUUGGAUCCAACUACUCCCCAUACGUGACAGACAGUCUGAUAGGAUAAUCUUAUAAGACAUAGGAUUGUAUGGCCUUUGAUGUGCUUGGGGCAAAAUUGCCACAGAAACAGGCCAGUUGUCUUAAUGUGUGGACCGAGCCCAAUAGGAUAAUUAUCAUUGACAGCACAGGACUAACUACUUGCAACAUGGCUAAUAAUGUCAAUGUCAAUGUUCUGUGUAAACACAUUCAAACAGAUAUAUAUAUUGGUUUCGGUUUGUCUUAUUUAGUUUUUAGC